GUUAGGAAUAUUGGACAAUGGGCGCAAGCCUGAUCCAGCCAUGCCGCGUGAGUGAUGAAGGCCUUCGGGUUGUAAAGCUCUUUAGCCGAUGAUUAUAAUGACUGUAGUCGGAAAAUAAGCCCCGGCUAACUUCGUGCCAGCAGCCGCGGUAAUACGAAGGGGGCGAGCGUUAUUCGGAAUCACUGGGCGUAAAGCGUGCGUAGGCGGCUUUGCAAGUUGGGAGUGAAAGCCCAGGGCUCAACCCUGGAAUUGCUCUCAAAACUGCAAGGCUCGAAUUCGGGAGAGGAUAGAGGAAUUGUCAGUGUAGCAGUGAAAUGCGUAGAUAUUGACAGGAACACCAGUGGCGUAAGCGGCUAUCUGGACCGAUAUUGACGCUGAGGCACGAAAGCGUGGGGAUCAAACAGGAUUAGAAACCCUAGUAGUCC
rnacentral:rRNA from 1 species